AGUGAACGCUGGCGGUAGGCCUAACACAUGCAAGUCGAACGGCAGCACAGUAAGAGCUUGCUCUUACGGGUGGCGAGUGGCGGACGGGUGAGGAAUACAUCGGAAUCUACUUUUUCGUGGGGGAUAACGUAGGGAAACUUACGCUAAUACCGCAUACGACCUACGGGUGAAAGCAGUGGAUCUUCGGACCUUGCGCGAUUGAAUGAGCCGAUGUCGGAUUAGCUAGUUGGCGGGGUAAAGGCCCACCAAGGCGACGAUCCGUAGCUGGUCUGAGAGGAUGAUCAGCCACACUGGAACUGAGACACGGUCCAGACUCCUACGGGAGGCAGCAGUGGGGAAUAUUGGACAAUGGGCGAAAGCCUGAUCCAGCCAUACCGCGCGGGUGAAGAAGGCCUUCGGGUUGUAAAGCCCUUUUGUUGGGAAAGAAAAGCAGCAGGUUAAUACCCCGCUGUUCUGACGGUACCCAAAGAAUAAGCACCGGCUAACUUCGUG
rnacentral:rRNA from 1 species